UUUAAUCACCAGGGGUGCUGAAGCUUUUCUCACGAAUGGGAAAUGUUUUUAGCUGAGAGAGUCCCUAACAACCUGAUCCGGAUAAUACCGGCGGAGGGAGAGUGAAGAUGUUCCCAA
rnacentral:ncRNA from 2 species